GAUGAACGCUAGCGGCAGGCUUAAUACAUGCAAGUCGUGGGGCAGCAUGAGUAGCAAUACUUGAUGGCGACCGGCAAACGGGUGAGGAACACGUACACAACCUUCCUUCAAGCGGGGAAUAGCCCAGAGAAAUUUGGAUUAAUACCCCAUAAUAUAUUUGAUAAGGCAUCUUAUUAAUAUUAAAGCUUCGGCACUUGAUGAUGGGUGUGCGGCUGAUUAGAUAGUUGGCGGGGUAACGGCCCACCAAGUCUACGAUCAGUAGCUGAUGUGAGAGCAUGAUCAGCCACACGGGCACUGAGACACGGGCCCGACUCCUACGGGAGGCAGCAGUAAGGAAUAUGGACAAUGGACGAAAGUCUGAUCCAGCCAUGCCGCGUGAAGGAUUAAGGU
rnacentral:rRNA from 1 species